rnacentral:lncRNA from 1 species
CACCUUGUGCAGCCCAUUCCCUUGGUGUCGGCCCAUCAGCUCACUUAAAGCCCAAAGCAGAUUCAAUCUGGACCGUUGAUUGAUAAGUCUUGAUCUCAGCCAUUCACUCUCAAUAUAAAUAUCCUCCCUCUCUCACAAAGCCUCCAAACCCUAACCUAGCAGCUGCACCUCUCUCUCUUCUCGACGGCCGAAUCUUUCGCCGGAUUCCAUGGCGGUCGGAGAUUCGGUCGAUUCUCUUUCCUUUCUUGCUGCAGCUG